rnacentral:rRNA from 1 species
UUGAGCGCUCGAGUCUGACGGAGCACGCCGCGUGAGUGAUGAAGGUUUUCGGAUCGUAAAGCUCUGUUGUUAGGGAAGAACAAGUGCGAGAGUAACUGCUCGCACCUUGACGGUACCUAACCAGAAAGCCACGGCUAACUACGUGCCAGCAGCCGCGGUAAUACGUAGGUGGCAAGCGUUGUCCGGAAUUAUUGGGCGUAAAGGGCUCGCAGGCGGUUUCUUAAGUCUGAUGUGAAAGCCCCCGGCUCAACCGGGGAGGGUCAUUGGAAACUGGGAAACUUGAGUGCAGAAGAGGAGAGUGGAAUUCCACGUGUAGCGGUGAAAUGCGUAGAGAUGUGGAGGAACACCAGUGGCGAAGGCGACUCUCUGGUCUGUAACUGACGCUGAGGAGCGAAAGCGUGGGGAGCGAACAGGAUUAGAUACCCUGGUAGUCCACGCCGUAAACGAUGAGUGCUAAGUGUUAGGGGGUUUCCGCCCCUUAGUGCUGCAGCUAACGCAUUAAGCACUCCGCCUGGGGAGUACGGUCGCAAGACUGAAACUCAAAUGAAAUUGACGG